rnacentral:tRNA from 1 species
GGGGCUGUGGCGAAAUUGGCAUACGCAACUGACUUAAAAUCAGUCGCCUUCGGGCAUGUGGGUUCGAGUCCCACCAGCCCCACCA